GUUCCGGUGGCCUGGUGGUUAGAACGUCCGCCUCGGAUGCAGGAGGUCGAGGGUUCGAUCCCCUGUCGAUUAAUACU